rnacentral:rRNA from 1 species
AUUGAACGCUGGCGGCAUGCCUUACACAUGCAAGUCGAACGGCAGCAUGGAGGAGCUUGCUCCUCUGAUGGCGAGUGGCGAACGGGUGAGUAAAGCAUCGGAACGUACCGUGUAGUGGGGGAUAACGUAGCGAAAGUUACGCUAAUACCGCAUACGCACUGAGGUGGAAAGCAGGGGAUCGCAAGACCUUGCGCUAUACGAGCGGCCGAUGUCAGAUUAGCUAGUUGGUAGGGUAAAGGCCUACCAAGGCGACGAUCUGUAGCGGGUCUGAGAGGAUGAUCCGCCACACUGGGACUGAGACACGGCCCAGACUCCUACGGGAGGCAGCAGUGGGGAAUUUUGGACAAUGGGGGAAACCCUGAUCCAGCCAUGCCGCGUGAGUGAAGAAGGCCUCGG